rnacentral:rRNA from 1 species
CAGUAGCCACGGGAAUACGAAGGGGGCUAGCGUUGCUCGGAAUUACUGGGCGUAAAGGGAGCGUAGGCGGAUCGUUAAGUUGGGGGUGAAAGCCCGGGGCUCAACCUCGGAACUGCCUUCAAUACUGGCGAUCUUGAGUAUGAGAGAGGUGUGUGGAACUCCGAGUGUAGAGGUGAAAUUCGUAGAUAUCGGAAGGAACACCUGUGGCGAAAGCGGCUCACUGGACCAUUUCUGACGCUGAUGCACGAAAGCUAGGGGAGCAAGCAGGAUUAGAUACCCCGGUAGUCCCUGUCUCUUAUAC